rnacentral:lncRNA from 1 species
AUGCGGCCCCCUCGGGGCCAGCCGCCCCCCGGGCCCGGCCAGCCCCUGCGGGCCGGCGGCGAGGCGGGGCAGCCCCAGCGCCCACCGCCGCCUCACCCGUCCCGCGAGUCCCCGCCGCCCGCCCCGGGCCCGCGGCCCAUCCCCGCCGCCGCCGCUCAGCUGUCCCGACCGGGGACGCGAACCCGCGGCCCGGCCGCCGGCCCCGCCCUACGGGGGGAGGCGGGACCCGUUAGAGCGGCAAGGCACGGACCGGGACCGGGACCGGGACCGCUCCGCCGGCCGCAGAGGGCCGCGCCGCGCGCGCGCGGGACACCGCUACGGGUCGCCGGAAGGGCCCUGCCGGGCGCGCGGCGGGCACGGGCGUCCGCCGCCGCUCCGCCCCCGCCGCCGACUCCGGAAGGGAAACCGGAAGCGCCGCGCCCUUUCCCGUUUCCCCCUCCAACCCCCCCGGCAACCGGCGGCAGCGCACGGACGUUCCGGCCCGCGGGCGGCUCACGACGCCGGGGUGGCGGGGACGAGGCAGCCUCCCCUCCCCCGGGCUCCCCGGUGCUGCCCGCCCCCGGGGCCUCACGGCCCGCUGUCCGGCCGGAGGCUGCACGGCCUCCCCUGGCCUGCCCUCCUCGGGUGGCCUGGCACUGGGCCGGGCCCUCCCAGCUCGGGUUGGGUUGGGUUGGGUUGGGUUGGGUUGGGCUGGGUUGGUUGGACUGGGUUGGGUUGGGUUGGGUUCAGCUGGGCUGGGCUGGGUUGGGUCUGGUUCAGUUGGAUCGGGUUGGUUGGGCUGGGUUGGGUCAGGUUCAGUUGGAUUGGGUUGGGUUGAGCUGGGCUGAGUUGGGUCCAGCUGGGCUCGGUUGGUUGGACUGGGUUGGGCUGGGAUCAGUUGGGCUGGGUAGGGUUUUGUUUGGUUCAGUUUGUUGUUUUGUUUUAAAGAAGGGACCAGCAGCAUUCACUGCCUCGGCCAUGACUCCACCCCGACAAGCCUGUCGUGCCCAGUCUCAGCACACGCAGGAGCUUUGUCCUUGGUUUCAGGGACGCCAUUACCAGCCUCGCUGCACACAUAUCAGCUUAACCGAGAGCUAA